rnacentral:rRNA from 1 species
AUUGAACGCUGGCGGCAUGCCUUACACAUGCAAGUCGAACGGCAGCACGAGGGCAACCCUGGUGGCGAGUGGCGAACGGGUGAGUAAUACAUCGGAACGUGCCCCGUAGCGGGGGACAACCAGUCGAAAGACUGGCUAAUACCGCAUACGCUCCACGGAGGAAAGCGGGGGACCGCAAGGCCUCGCGCUAUUGGAGCGGCCGAUGUCCGAUUAGCUUGUUGGCGGGGUAAGAGCCCACCAAGGCGACGAUCGGUAGCUGGUCUGAGAGGAUGAUCAGCCACACUGGGACUGAGACACGGCCCAGACUCCUACGGGAGGCAGCAGUGGGGAAUUUGGACAAUGGGGCAACCCUGAUCCAGCCAUGCCGCGUGCGGGAAGAAGGCCU